rnacentral:lncRNA from 1 species
AUCCACCAGCUAAGUAAAUACAAGACAUUCUAUUGUAUAUAACCGAAUCCCAUAAAGGAUGAUAGGUAAUAAACAAAAAGCAAAAGAGAUCUUCGAAAAUUUCAAGAGUACCACAAUCAUUAUCGACAUAGGUAGUGUAACAAAUUCCAGUAUCAACAGAGCCCUCCUUUGCAUGAACAUCAACUAGGAGCUCAAUUCCAUAAACUCUAACCCUUUGAUCAAGAACCCUAAUCGAUCACUCAAAGUUUUCAACAAUAUUAGAAAUGACCAUCCCAUUUCCUGUUCCUUUAUCGCUGUGAAGGGUAUAUUCGUAUUCAGCAGGCUCACAAAAAUCUUCUCAACUUUCUAGUGAUUUUGAAAGCAAUGUCUCCUCGUCUCAGGGUUGACCAGUCCAUUGACUUAGUCUAGCCCAUUCUCCACCACCUUCGACUCGUCAAUUCCAACUCCAUUCCAACUCCAAACCAUCGCCAAAGGUCAAAGAAAAAUAGAAAAACAUAUUAAGAGAAGGAAAGUAGAGAUUGUAUGUGUGUGUGUGUGAGAGAGAGAGAGAGAGCAUUGGGGAAAGACAUUUAGGACAAAAAAUGGCGUCGUU